rnacentral:rRNA from 1 species
AUGCUGCGGAGGAUGGUGUCCGACCAGGGGCCGGGCUCCGGAGGCAGCGGAGGAGACGCCAGGCCCCGCGGUGGCGGCACGCUGUUCGCCGUGCCGCGGCUCUUCAUCGGGCUCGCGGCCGCCAAGCGCGCGCCGGACGGCGCCGGCGAGUCGGAGCGGAGCCCGACGUCGCCGCUCGACCCCAAGGCGCUGCUGCUCCGCUCGCCGCGCUCGCCGAGGACCUGGGACGCCGAGCCGGUGGGGCUCGGCCUCGUGGUGGACGUCGCCCUCGCGGCCGGCGCCGACGGCAGCGCCGCCAAGACCUGCGUGCUCAGCCCGCGCCUGCGCCUCAGGACGCACGGCUGCGCCGGCUCCACGACCAAGGGCUGCGGCGGGGGCGGCCACUCGCAGCCGGAGCUCGGGGGCAAGACCAUCUCCUGCCCGGCCUCCGCCACCGCCGGCAUGUCGGUGCCCUGCAGCAGGUUCUUCCACGGGGAUCUGAAGUCUGGUCCGGAGGCCGCUCGGCCGGAUGGCGCCCACUCCGGCGCCAAGCGGCAUUGCUUCCACCUCGGCGAGCUCCCGGGGCCGGGGUCCCUGCCGGCGUCGAUCGCCGGCGGGCCCCGGCGGUUCGUCGGGUCCGUCUCCGCGAGCGAGGUGGAGCAGUCGGAGGACUACACCUGCAUCAUUGCCCGCGGCCCCAACCCCAAGACGACCCACAUCUUCGGGGACUGCAUUCUUGAGCCCCAGACGACGGUCGGGAAGAGCGACGAGGCCGCCAUGGAACCCAAGGACGGAGCUUCGGCCAAGUCCUACCUGGUGGUCAAGCGCGCCACCGAGUCUGCCGCCGGCCCGGGCGAGGACUUCCUGAGCUCCUGCUUCACUUGCAGGAAGAAGCUGGAAGGGAACGACAUUUACAUCUACCGCGGUGAGAAGGCAUUCUGCAGCGCCGAGUGCCGGGACCAGGAGAUCAUGAUCGAAGAGGAAGCCGAGAACAGCAUGGCCAUCGGAGGCUCCCCUCGCUCCUCCUGCUCGUCCCUGCACGAGGACAUCUUCAUGGCCGGCAUGAUGGUGGCGACAUGA